AGCUGGAAACACUGGCAGGAAGUUGCAGCGCGACGCUGAUGAAGCGUGCGCAUUUGUUGACAAUCCUGCAUUAACUGUAGCAUCCAACGUAAAGUGGCAUCUGCCCUGCCACUGGGAAACGCCGAGUGAACGUGUUUCCUGGUGAGUUGGCACUGGAGUUUGCGAAACGUGUCGUUUAUGGCGGAAUGCUUGAAGCGUGAAGAGAGGACGGGAGUGCCAACGACGUACCUCCCGUUUGUUGACAGCCAAAGGUAGCGAACGAUUUUUAGCACACGCAGCGCAGUGAUAGUCACGUCACUCAUGCCAUCACGGAAGCUGCCCAUUAAGAGAGCGCAACUCAGAUCCGCAGUUGAUGUGCCAUUAACUCAGCGAUUUCUUGACCGGCUUUCAGAAGCGCAAGAAAGAGCGUCAGAAAAAAGCCCAGGAGAAGCUCAAGCUGCAGGCGCAAGAAGAGAAGCGGCGUCUGAGGGCAGAGAAGCAGGAAAUUCUGCAGCGACUGCUCGGAGACAAGCCUGUGGCAGGCAGCUCGGCUGAUGUGGAGGGGGAGGAGCAGGUCGUGACAUAUGACAUGCCUGAUCAUACGGUUACUGUGACCAGCCUUGAGAGUUGUGACCUCUACGGAGACGUUCACGUUGGCAACAACCAGGCAGCCGAUGAGGAAGAUGGCAUUACCCAAGAGAUUGAGGAGAGCCGUGCCGUAGACAGCGAUAAGCAGAGGCUCAAGGCUCUAGCCCGGCAGAUGGGUGACUGCAGCACCAAGCUCCAUGCAGCAUUGCACAAGGACAAGAAAGAGCGAGGAAAGAUGCGUCGCAUCAAACUUCGCACCACUAAGAAGGCAAAGCUGGCACGCACACAUCGGCGGUAGCAGGCGUCAUGAAUAAUAAAUGUGUUCUGACUUUUA